rnacentral:tRNA from 1 species
UCCUCGAUGGUCUAACGGUCAUGAUUUCCGCUUGUCAUCUCUUCGAGAACAAGCGCGGGAGACCUGGGUUCGACUCCCAGUCGGGGAG